rnacentral:rRNA from 1 species
CAGUUUGGAUUCCGCUUAAGCCUAGUUUUUUAAUCAACUGAAGCGGUCUAACCUUGAAUGCAUUCGACCUGCGAGCAAAGAUUCUGUAAGGGGGGUGGAUUCAGGUGAGCGUGAAUCGUAAGAAUCGAGAAAUCGUGGGGAGGGGGCCCUGCCGAUAUUGACAUCAGAUUGGAAGCGUGGGAGGCAACAAGAUUAGAUACCUUGUAGUCACGCAGUAACGACGUCUUACUGAGAUUGGCAUGAGCCGUGCAUUCGGAGCUAACGCGUAAGUAGACGCUGGGGAGUACGGUCGCAGAUUAAAACUCAACUGAAUUGACGGGGACCCGCACAAGCGGUGGAGCAUGUGGUUUAAUUCGAUGCAACGCGAAGAACCUUACCUACUCUUGACAUCCAGAGAACUUUCCAGAGAUGGAUUGGUGCCUUCGGGAACUCUGAGACAGGUGCUGCAUGGCUGUCGUCAGCUCGUGUUGUGAAAUGUUGGGUUAAGUCCCGCAACGAGCGCAACCCUUAUCCUUGUUUGCCAGCGAGUAAUGUCGGGAACUCCAGGGAGACUGCCGGUGAUAAACCGGAGGAAGGUGGGGACGACGUCAAGUCAUCAUGGCCCUUACGAGUAGGGCUACACACGUGCUACAAUGGCGCAUACAGAGGGCAGCCAACUUGCGAAAGUGAGCGAAUCCCAAAAAGUGCGUCGUAGUCCGGAUUGGAGUCUGCAACUCGACUCCAUGAAGUCGGAAUCGCUAGUAAUCGUGGAUCAGAAUGCCACGGUGAAUACGUUCCCGGGCCUUGUACACACCGCCCGUCACACCAUGGGAGUGGGCUGCAAAAGAAGUAGGUAGUUUAACCUCGGGGGGACGCUACCAAGUCUGGUUGA